rnacentral:rRNA from 1 species
CACGUAGGGUGCGAGCGUUGUCCGGAAUUAUUGGGCGUAAAGAGCUCGUAGGCGGUGUGUCGCGUCGGCCGUGAAAACCUGCAGCUUAACUGUGGGCGUGCGGUCGAUACGGGCAUCACUGGAGUUCGGCAGGGGAGACUGGAAUUCCUGGUGUAGCGGUGAAAUGCGCAGAUAUCAGGAGGAACACCGGUGGCGAAGGCGGGCCUCUGGGCCGAUACUGACGCUGAGGAGCGAAAGCGUGGGGGAGCAAACGGGG